rnacentral:tRNA from 1 species
UCUGGGCAAGUGGGCCUCGAUCCCACAACAAAUUCUAGUUAACAACUAAACGUCCAAUCCAGCGGACCUUAACCCA